CGUGCGGCCUUGAUCUAUAUAAAGAGAGAGGUUGGAUGCUCGUUCUCUAUCAUAAUCAUUGCUACAGCUUCUGAAGGCGAGCUUCUUCAUGCUGCUCUGCUUUUCAUCUAUAUUAUUUUGAUGGAAAAUUUAUUGGGAGUUGCAGGAGCUGAAGAUCAAAAGAUGCCCCCAUGUUGUCCGAGUCGCAAAUGUUGUCCACCCUCGCUCCCGUAAUAUUGUUAUGUGUGGCCUUUCAUUUUCUUUUAGUUAUCCUGUAAUAUGUAAAAUAAAAUUAGAUUAAAUCUGAUGUGAUGUGAUGAUUAGUAGAUGCAGUUUAGAUUAUUAUAAUGUCUGUGCUGUUUGCACUAUGCACUCUUAAUGUAUUGAAAAUGGGAGGAUUUUAAAAUCAAUCUGCGCCCCAGAUUUUUUUUUUUUAUUCCAGCCUUCUGGUUGGGCAUCGCUUUCUUUCUCUGCUACUUCUCUUCUCGAUCUUCUUUUGCAGGUGCAGCAAUGGCACUAGCUACCUAUAGCUAUCCACUAAUCCCAAACUCUUAACAUCUAAAUAUAAUAACAGUGGACCCAUAUCAUGCAUGGCAUCCAUCGACUUCUUCUUCACCAGCCCCUCCGACGCCGUCAAAUUCAUCAAGUUCAUCCCCGACGUGAUCUUCGUGCGCUCCUGGUCUGACAAGCUGUUCGUCUCACGAGCCCAAAAGCAACCACGAACACACAUUCUCCGUCGAGAUCUCCCCCAUCUACCGCAAGAACCAGAUGAUUAUUUACCUGCCUCCCAAGGUCGCUCAAGCCUUUUCACUCCUAUGCUCCAUGUUUCUCAAUGCCAACCGGUAGGUUUGCUGCAGAUGCCAUCGAACUUGGGAAGCAAAACAAUAGAAACGACUAUGCACAAGAGUCUCGGCAACUCUCGUCUCUUGAAUUUUGCCUUCCCUUCUUCCAACUCACAAAACCAAAACAAAACCAGAGCAAAUAGACUACCACGGUUGUUGCCCAUUGGACAAAAGAUUAAAGACAAUUUACAUCUAAAUUAUCCCCCCCAAUGGGCAACAACCGUGGUUGUCUAUUUGCUCUAGUUUUAUUUUGGUUUUGUGGGUUGGAAGAAGGGAAGGCAAAAUUCAAAAGACGAGAGUUGCUGAGACUGGUGCACAGUUGCUUCUUUUGUUUUGCUCCCCAAGUCAUGUGGGGAUCCUUAGCAAACCUACUGGAUGGCAUCGAGAAACGUGGAGCAUAGGAGUGAAGGGGUUCAGGAGGCGGACAGAGUUGGAGAUCUUGAUGAAAAGGAUGGUGGGGCUGGGAUUUCCCAGGCCUGAGCAACCUUGGGAGGCAAACAAAUAAUCAUCUGGUUCUUGCGGCAGAUGGGGGAGAUCUCGACGGAAAAUGUGUGCUCGUGGUUGCUUUUGGGCUCAUGAGAGACGAACUGUUUGUCGGACCAAGAGCGCACAGGGAUGAUGCCGGGAUGAACUUGACGAAUUUGAUGGCGUCGGAGCAGCUGGUGAAGAAGAAGUCGAUCGACGUCGGAUGAGUUGGGUCCACUAUUGUUAUUUUUAGAUAUAUUCCCGAAUUGCCCUCGUGGACAGUUUGGGCAUGUGAAUGAAUUUAAUAUUGCAACACAUGUGCUUCUACAUCGCAGAGUUUUGUUGGUAUUUUCGAUCAUGUUAUUUGGAUACAUAGCACAGCUUUAACGCUUGUGUAUCUGGAGAACUAUGUCGAAAUGCUGCCAAAAUUUUUUUGGUAUAGAAGACAUGUAUUGCAAUAUUAAAUUCUUACAUUCUUAAAUGGGAUAGGACCAUCACCCUAUAGGUAGAAGAUAUAAGGCAUUAGUCAACUAUUAUUAUAUAAAAUUGAUUGUAUAGUUUGCAUCAUAAAUAUGUAGGUAUUGAUCGUGGUUGGAUGUCAUUGUGUGAUAAGUUCUAUCCCGAGUAUAUUACGGGUGUGAUGUCUUUUAUGAAUGUGGCAUCCAAUCAUACUAGAGAAGAUGGAAAAGCUCGUUGUCCAUGUCAUCGAUGUAAGAAUUUAUUUUGGUGUACCUUAUCGGACAUUCAGAAUCAUUUAUAUGAACACGGUAUAUAUGUGACUUACAAGAGAUGGACUUGUCAUGGUGAAGAUUUGCUGACUAGCUCGAGCAUGUUGUUCACGAGUCCCAUAAAUCCAUCGUCAAUCGGUGGAUCAUGCAGUCUUGAAAGACAAACACUCGGUGCAGAAGAUAGAGAAAUUUUAGAGGAUCUCCAUCCAAAAUUAUUUGAAGUAAAUGUAGAAGCGAGAGCAGAACAUCAGCAUCCCAUUUCGAGACAAGAAGCUGAAGAGGACAGUAACAUAUCUAUAAAUGAUAGAUUCGAGCGUCUAUUAAGAGAUGCACAAAGUGAUGUUUAUCCUGGUUGUAAGAAGUACUCUCUGUUGUCCACCGUAAUAAAGUUAUUACACAUGAAGACACUUGGUAAGUGGUCAAACAACUUAUUUAAUUGGUUGCUCAAAUUUUUGAAAGACCUACUGCCAGAGGGAGAGUUACUUCCGUCAAGUCAUUAUGAUGCCAAAAAAUUUUUGAAAGGAUUCGGUUUGGGUCUCGAUGACUUGGGCCUAUGCUGUGAAAAGAUACAUGCAUGUCCGAAUGAUUGUGUUCUGUUUCGGAAGGAUAAAAAAGAUCUACAAGCAUGCCCGAUUUGUCAUUUAAGCAGAUGGAAAGAAAAUCGUGGUAAGGAUAAGAAGAAAAAGAAAAUACCAUGCAAGAUUUUGCGGUACUUUUCGAUUAUCAGGUUAUUUGCUGUCUCCGACUAUAAUAUAAACUGCACCAAUCAUUACAUCACGAUUGCAACUCAAGAAGGACUAGCCGCUAGUGCUUGUCCUUAUCUUGAUCCGUCCACAACCAACAAAAAGUAGGGCAAUGAGUUAGGCUUGGCAUUUUUGGAUGGGGGUUGUAGGCUUUGCAUGAAAAAAAUGAUGCACGUUCUUUUCGUGCAUCUACUCUUGGAAGGAGUUCGAAGUGCUUUACCAGGUGUGUAGAUAAACUUGGUCUCGAUGGAACUUUUCCUAACAUCUAUGAGUUCUAACAUAUGCUGAAUUUUGUUCCAGCGAUUAUCUUCACCACUAAUAUAUUUUUUAGUCUCUUUGAUUUCAUUUUAAAAAAUGUAGAUAUAACCCAAUCAAGAAGUUAUAUUCCUCAAGGCCUUGGGAUUCAGGUAGCUAGCUGAUGCACUUCAUGUCGUCUUAUGGUCAUUCUACGUUUGGUUAGUCUUGUGUACUUUAUUUCUGAUUGCUUGAAUAGAUCGAGUUCAAGUUUGUCUUUUGGAACAAUAAAAUUUCAUAUACCGCCAUAAAGGCUUAUAGCUUUUUCGCUUCUUCUCUUUCCACAAAUUGAAUAGAGUUUAUGCCAGCCUAUUAAAAUAGUGACUUGGGCCGAAUUAUAUGCUUAUAAUCCAAAGACAGAGAGAAAUUUGAGCAUUCAAGUUUGAAUUUGGAGGUUAGAACAUAUAAGGUAUAUUUUUCGUCAGAUGUUAUUUUCUUCAAUGGAUUUGUCUAUUAAGAUCAUAAGAGCAAUGAUACUUCUUGCUGGUUAUACAGAAUUUAGAGUUUUAUGGGAGUUUAAGAGAUUCUUAGGGAGACAUGGAGUAUGUAACGAUGACUUACACUAAUUAGUUUAUUAAAUUUUGCUAAAAUGUUAUAAGAUUUUUGUAAUUCUUUUGAUAAAAAUCUCAUUUUUAAUACAUUAAGAGCACAUAAUGCAAAGGACAUAUGCAUUAUAAUAAUCUAAACUGCACCUACUAAUCAUCACAUCAAAUCAGACUUUAUCUAACUUUAUUUUACACAUUAUAUAUGGGAUAAUUAAAAGAAAAUGGGAGGCAGCACGUAUAUUACGGGAGUGAAGAUGGACAAUAUUUACGAUUUGGACAACACGGAGGCUUGCUUUUAUCUUCAGCUCCUGCAAUGGUUUCCAACAAAUUUGGCAUCAAAAUGGUGAAGAUGAGAAGAAGCAGCAGCACAAGCUUGCCAUCAAAAGCUGUAGCAAUGAUUAUGAUAGAGAACGAGCAUCUAACCUGUCUGCUUAUAUAAAUCGAGAGGCCGUGGGAACUUGGUAGCAGGCGGUGUGAGAUGCACCUCACUAUUGGAUUAUUUGGGAGCGCGAGGACCGCCCUCCAUGUGAUGGUAUUGUUGUCGCAUGCGGUGGCAUAAGUAUCAUGGGCUUUGAAAGGUCACACCAUCAUUGGCAUCUUGGAGUGAAGCACGCUUUGAAGGUUGGGGUGGAAAUAUUACCCAAAAAAGAAAACUUUAGUUGUAGUUGAGAUAUUUUAAAUUAUUCAAUAAUUGAAUACUAAUUAGUGUCAUAAUAAAUAAUAAUAUGUAAAAAUUUAAAAUGAUGAUGUAAUAAAUAAAGUUAGAAAAUUUUUUGUAGAAAGCAUAUCAAAAUUUGGAUGUUAAAAAAUAACAAACUUUAACUAAAAUUUAAUAUAAAAAAUAAUAAAUGUCAUUUUCAUCCCAUCAAUUUUUGUUUUUUUUUGAUAAUAUUUUCAUCCCACAUCUUUAUAAUGUGCUUCAAUUCAAAAAGCCAAUAAUGGUGUAACCUUUCAAAGUCUGUGAUGCUUUUGUCACUGUAUGUGACAACAUUGUCACAUGGGGGUGGUCCUUGCGCUUCCAAAUAAUCCACUAGUAAGGUACAUCUCACAUUACCUGAUAUCGACUUCGUGCGGCCUUGAUUUAUAUAAAGAGAGAGGUUGGAUGCUCGUUCUCUAUCAUAAUCAUUGCUACUGCUUUUGAAGGCGAGCUUCUUCAUGCUGCUCUGCUUUUCAUCUGCAUUAUUUUGAUGGAAAAUUUAUUGGGAGUUGCAGGAGCUGAAGAUCAAAAGAUGCCCCCAUGUUGUCCGUGCCGCAAAUGUUGUCCACCCUCGCUCCCGUAAUAUUGUUAUGUGUUGCCUUUCAUUUUCUUUUAGUUAUCCUCUAAUAUGUAAAAUAAAAUUAGAUUAAAUCUGAUGUGAUGUGAUGAUUAGUAGAUGCAGUUUAGAUUAUUAUAUUGUAUGUGCUGUUUGCGCUAUGCACUAUUAAUGUAUUGAAAAUGGGUGUAUUUUAAAAUCAAUCUGCGCCCC
rnacentral:lncRNA from 1 species